GGGAAACACUGCUCUAAUCUGUGGUUUUGUCUCCUAUCACAACAUGCCUGCAGCCUGCAUGUCUCUGUCAUUUACAUGUAGAGAUCAGUGUACAUACCGGCGUCCCGAUCACUAAAGGCAGAGGGAGAAGGAUGCACGGAGUCGAGAAGAGGAUGAGCUCAUUCUUUAUGGAGCGCAGAUGUCUGAGGAAUCCCAUCCUGAAGGGAAAA